rnacentral:tRNA from 1 species
GCAUUGGUGUUUCAGAGGCAGAAUUUUUGCCUUGCAUGCAGAAGACUUGGGUUUGAUUCCUGGACGAAGCA